rnacentral:rRNA from 1 species
GAUGAACGCUGGCGGCGUGCCUAAUACAUGCAAGUCGAGCGAACAGACGAGGAGCUUGCUCCUCUGACGUUAGCGGCGGACGGGUGAGUAACACGUGGAUAACCUACCUAUAAGACUGGGAUAACUUCGGGAAACCGGAGCUAAUACCGGAUAAUAUAUUGAACCGCAUGGUUCAAUAGUGAAAGACGGUUUUGCUGUCACUUAUAGAUGGAUCCGCGCCGCAUUAGCUAGUUGGUAAGGUAACGGCUUACCAAGGCAACGAUGCGUAGCCGACCUGAGAGGGUGAUCGGCCACACUGGAACUGAGACACGGUCCAGACUCCUACGGGAGGCAGCAGUAAGGAAUCUUCCGCAAUGGGCGAAAGCUUGACGGAGCAACGCCGCGUGAGUGGUGAAGGUCUUCGGAUCGUAAAACUCUGUUAUUAGGGAAGAACAAAUGUGUAAGUAACUAUGCACGUCUUGACGGUACCUAAUCAGAAAGCCACGGCUAACUACGUG